CAAUUCCCUGCAGUUUUGGGGCUUUUUUCAGGUUGUGGUAAUAAAAUGAAAGGAGACCCCUCCCAUGGACACCACUUUCAACUCCUAGAGGAAAGGUGGCAUAAAAAUGCCAUCAUCCUGACUUCAGUGCUUGCCUUAUGGAACAAUAUCUUCCUGAGAUUUGGAUGAUCCUGACUCUGCUGGCUUCCCUAAGGCCCUGAAAACCUGAUUCCUUCCCGAGCAUUCCACCAGAGCAUGGGAUGAACCAUCAAGGAAUGAAAAUAGACUUGUCUGAUACGCUUAUAUCUAGAGAAAGUAUUGGGUGCUCCUCGCUUUUGUGAAGUGAAGGAAGCUGAGGCCAGAAGACAUUGCUUCUCCUUAUUGGCUCUGGUGUUAUGGAACAGCCUUUGUCUAGAAGCUAAAGUUAUCCCAGUGUUGAUUGCUUUCCAGAAGCUGGUGAAGAUGGAGCUCUUCUGUAAAACGUUGGGUGGUUCACUGGGUUGACACUAUUCAUGUUAUGAUUGCUCUUUGUAUGAUGGCUCUGGAUACUACUUUAAUUAAUUGAUUUUAACCUUAACUUUAAUUAAUUAUCGUUACUUACCAUGGAUGUUUUAAUUUGUGUACUGUGGAUGUUUUAAUUAUGUAUCCUUGUUGUGUUUGCUACCUGCCAAGAGUCCUUGCAGAUUACACCAGUAAUCAAAUCUGAUAAAUACACAUGUAUCUUUAAAUGAUUCUUUCCUCUAUGGUUUAGGAAAAGAAAAUUAUGUCAUG